rnacentral:rRNA from 1 species
AACGAACGCUGGCGGCGCGCCUAAUACAUGCAAGUCGAGCGAGAAGACGUAGCAAUACGUUUGUAAAGCGGCGAACGGGUGAGGAAUACAUGGGUAACCUACCCUCGAGUGGGGAAUAACUAGCCGAAAGGUUAGCUAAUACCGCGUACGCUCCUUGGACUUCGGUUCAGGGAGGAAAGCGAUACCGUGGGUAUCGCGCUCUUGGAUGGGCUCAUGUCCUAUCAGCUUGUUGGUGAGGUAACGGCUCACCAAGGCUUCGACGGUAGCUGGUCUGAGAGGACGAUCAGCCACACUGGCACUGCGACACGGGCCAGACUCCUACGGGAGGCAGCAGUAAGGAAUAUUGCGCAAUGGGCGAAAGCCUGACGCAGCGACGCCGCGUGGGGGA